UACGUAGGGUGCGAGCGUUGUCCGGAAUUAUUGGGCGUAAAGAGCUCGUAGGCGGUGUGUCACGUCGGCCGUGAAAACCUGCAGCUUAACUGUGGGCGUGCGGUCGAUACGGGCAUCACUGGAGUUCGGCAGGGGAGAUCGGAAUUCCUGGUGUAGCGGUGAAAUGCGCAGAUAUCAGGAGGAACACCGGUGGCGAAGGCGGAUCUCUGGGCCUGUCCUGACGCUGAGGCGCGAAAGCUAGGGGAGCAAACAGG
rnacentral:rRNA from 1 species